GUUAGAUGUGAAAAGAGAUUCUGCCAGUGAAAAUGGAUAGUAUUACGUAAGCACACAUAACCUGUAAUUAUUUCCUAGACAUGGGUUAUUUCAUGGCUUGGAAACAAGAAAUUUUGAAUUGUUUCUUUCCAUGUGAAACUAUCUUACCAUGGACUAUGGAAGUUGUUUGUCGAAAGCUCAUGCGCUUACAAAUAUAAUAAAGUGAAGAAAUAGGUAUCGAACAGUAAUCCUGUAUGCAUUUAUCAUCCCAUUGAAGCUUGGUCCAUGCUGGACUAUGGAAAGAUUUUUGUCGAAAGCUAUUGGAAUUAUCGGUGUACUCUUGUAAGACUAAGCUGAAUGUCAAUGUAGAGUCAGUGACAGUUUGCAAACACUAUUUGAUAAUUCAUAAGAAGAAGCCAAGAUUGGCGUCGUCUCUAGACCAUUCAGGCCUAGCCGCCAGCCCCAGAGACGGAGAAGCGAGCCAAAGCACUGAAAAAGAGCGAAAAAGUUGAAAUCCAAAGUGAUGCAGAUUAAUGCUUCGGAAACAACCCUGCCGUCGCCGUAAGCUGCCAAUCAGCACCGCAUUUUGCGCAUUCUGCAGGAACUGGAGCGUGAUGCGGCCGUUCACGAUCGUCACUGGGGAGACGUCUUAACGAUCACAUCAACUUGGAUUUUGAAAAACCGCAACAAAAUCUUUUAAUUUUUAUUUUUUAAAUGUUUAUUGUGUAACGUCAAUGAUUGAA